CCUACGGGUGGCUGCAGUGGGGAAUAUUGGACAAUGGGGGCAACCCUGAUCCAGCCAUGCCGCGUGUGUGAAGAAGGCCCUCGGGUUGUAAAGCACUUUCAGUGAGGAAGAACGCCUGGUGGUUAAUACCCAUCAGGAAAGACAUCACUCACAGAAGAAGCACCGGCUAACUCCGUGCCAGCAGCCGCGGUAAUACGGAGGGUGCGAGCGUUAAUCGGAAUUACUGGGCGUAAAGCGCGCGUAGGUGGCUUGAUAAGCCGGUUGUGAAAGCCCCGGGCUCAACCUGGGAACGGCAUCCGGAACUGUCAAGCUAGAGUGCAGGAGAGGAAGGUAGAAUUCCCGGUGUAGCGGUGAAAUGCGUAGAGAUCGGGAGGAAUACCAGUGGCGAAGGCGGCCUUCUGGACUGACACUGACACUGAGGUGCGAAAGCGUGGGUAGCAAACAGGAUUAGAUACCCGAGUAGUC
rnacentral:rRNA from 1 species